rnacentral:rRNA from 1 species
GACGAACGCUGGCGGCGUGCUUAACACAUGCAAGUCGAACGGAAAGGCCCUGCUUUUGUGGGGUGCUCGAGUGGCGAACGGGUGAGUAACACGUGAGUAACCUGCCCUUGACUUUGGGAUAACUUCAGGAAACUGGGGCUAAGACCGGAUAGGGGCUCCUGCUGCAUGGUGGGGGUUGGAAAGUUUCGGCGGUUGGGGAUGGACUCGCGGCUUAUCAGCUUGUUGGUGGGGUAGUGGCUUACCAAGGCUUUGACGGGUAGCCGGCCUGAGAGGGUGACCGGCCACAUUGGGACUGAGAUACGGCCCAGACUCCUACGGGAGGCAGCAGUGGGGAAUAUUGCACAAUGGGCGGAAGCCUGAUGCAGCAACGCCGCGUGCGGGAUGACGGCCUUCGGGUUGUAAACCGCUUUAGCCUGUGACGAAGCGUGAGUGACGGUAAUGGGUAAAGAAGCACCGGCUAACUACGUG